UUCAACUUUAGCAUGAAUUUAUUGAUGACUAUUCAAAUCAUCACCCGACUCAUUCUCUAAUGGUUACAGGUUCGAUUCCUGCACAAUACAAAUAUUUGUAUUCGUAAAUAUGUCUUAUUGUAUAGAUAAAUCUGAGUAAUGUACAUGUUUAUAUCCAGUUGCUAGACUACCCGUAUUGUGGAAAACUCCUUUUCAUGGUUUUUCGACGAAUUUAUUUUCAAAUUUUAAUAUCCAAUUACAUUAGCAAAACACUCCUUUAAAAGAAUUCCAAUGGAGACGAUUCUGAGACGCCAUUUCUCAAUAGAUGUAAAGUAAUAAAACUAACAAAAGGCUGGGAGAAGUUUGACGGCAUCAAGACUAAACCGUAUCCAAUGUGCUGCGACUUUGCUGUGUUCACUACUGACGAUGCGGAUUAUUAAAAUUAAUUUAUUUAUUUAUUAAAAUUUAAAUAAUAUACAUAUUUUUAUUAUUGAAA